UCGGGAAUUUUGGGCAAUGGGCGAAAGCCUGACCCAGCAACGCCGCGUGAAGGAUGAAGUAUUUCGGUAUGUAAACUUCGAAAGAAUGGGAAGAAUCAAUGACGGUACCAUUUAUAAGGUCCGGCUAACUACGUGCCAGCAGCCGCGGUAAUACGUAGGUGGCAAGCGUUGUCCGGAUUUAUUGGGUUUAAAGGGUGCGUAGGUGGCCCUGUAAGUCAGUGGUGAAAUAUCCCAGCUUAACUGAGAGGGUGCCAUUGAUACUGCAGGGCUUGAGUACAGAUGAGGUAGGCGGAAUUGACGGUGUAGCGGUGAAAUGCAUAGAUAUCGUCAAGAACACCGAUAGCGAAGGCAGCUUACCAAGCUGUAACUGACACUGAGGCACGAAAGUGUGGGGAUCAAACAGGAUUAGAUACCCGUGUAGUCCCUGAGCGGGCUGGCAAGGCGCAU
rnacentral:rRNA from 1 species